CCUACGGGAGGCAGCAGUAGGGAAUCUUCCACAAUGGGCGAAAGCCUGAUGGAGCAACGCCGCGUGGGUGAAGAAGGUCUUCGGAUCGUAAAACCCUGUUGUUAGAGAAGAAAGUGCGUGAGAGUAACUGUUCACGUUUCGACGGUAUCUAACCAGAAAGCCACGGCUAACUACGUGCCAGCAGCCGCGGUAAUACGUAGGUGGCAAGCGUUAUCGGGAUUUAUUGGGCGUAAAGGGAACGGAGGCGGUCUUUUCAGUCUGAUGUGAAAGCCUUCGGCUUAACCGGAGUAGUGCAUUGGAAACUGGGAGACUGGAGUGCAGAAGAGGAGAGUGGAACUCCAUGUGUAGCGGUGAAAUGCGUAGAUAUAUGGAAGAACACCAGUGGCGAAAGCGGCUCUCUGGUCUGUAACUGACGCUGAGGUUCGAAAGCGUGGGUAGCAAACAGGAUUAGAUACCCCUGUAGUC
rnacentral:rRNA from 1 species